AUGACGGAUGAGCUGUAUCACCAUGUGCCUGAGAAUCAUUGUGUUUUAAAGGACUUGGAUCAUCUUCCUACUGAGACGUGGCCCCAGCUGCUCCAUGAGCUCUGCAGCACACCCUUUCCUACCCUCUUCUGCCCCAGGAUUGUGCUGGAAGUGCUGGUUGUGCUCCAAAGCAUCGGCAAGCAGUGUCACCACAUGUCUGGCCAGGUCACCAUUGCCUCGGAGCUGAGACACAGGCAGUGGGUGGAGAGGAUGCUGCGGUCUCGCCAGCGGCAGAACUACCUGCGUAUAUGGAGUAGUAUCAGACUACUCUCCCCUGUGCUCAGCCUGAUCCGGUUCCUCAUUACGCUGCAGUUGGUCAAUGGGAAGAAUUCUGUUCAUGGGAAGAAUGAACAGAGUCCAUGCUGUUCAUGGGAAGAAUGCGCAUGAGUAUCAGCAGUACCUAAAGUGAGUAUGUUCCACUUCUCUGUAGUCGCAUUGCAUCGUGGGCCAGAUUGUGGGUGAGCCUGUAAGAGUGAGACUGGGGCAGCAUGAGGGCCACCAUCUCCUUGCUGGCCCCACCACCGUCUCAGGCAAGGGUAUGACAUCUGGCCUGCAAGAAGAACUCCCACAUCCAAAUGUCUCAAAACCACAUUUUGUUUGUUUGUUUCUUUUUCGAAGACAGAGUUCCAUCUGGAAAGGCAGGAAAACACAAAGGUGGGGGUCUUCCAGCAUAUAUGUGGACAAGAGACAAAGGAUUGCAUUGUUUUGAGUCUUUCAUAAGCCUUUCGGUGAAUACACAAUUGACUUGUGAGUGGGGGUAGAGGAAUAGUGACUUACACCUUAGUGUGGCACAGUGAAGCUGCAUUUUACACAGGGCAGAAAAGCAAUCAUAUAGGUAUUUGUUCAGGUGAGCUCAGGGAUGAAGCCCUGUCCCACCCCUAACACUACCC
rnacentral:lncRNA from 10 species